GAUGAACGCUGGCGGCGUGCUUAACACAUGCAAGUCGAACGGGAAUUAUUUUAUUGACACUUCGGUCGAUUUAAUUUAAUUCUAGUGGCGGACGGGUGAGUAACGCGUGGGUAACCUGCCUUAUACAGGGGGAUAACAGUCAGAAAUGGCUGCUAAUACCGCAUAAGCGCACAGAGCUGCAUGGCUCAGUGUGAAAAACUCCGGUGGUAUAAGAUGGACCCGCGUUGGAUUAGCUUGUUGGCAGGGUAACGGCCUACCAAGGCGACGAUCCAUAGCCGGCCUGAGAGGGGGAACGGCCACAUUGGGACUGAGACACGGCCCAGACUCCUACGGGAGGCAGCAGUGGGGAAUAUUGCACAAUGGGGGAAACCCUGAUGCAGCGACGCCGCGUGAAGGAAGAAGUAUCUCGGUAUGUAAACUUCUAUCAGCAGGGAAGAUAGUGACGGUACCUGACGAAGAAGCCCCGGCUAACUACGUG
rnacentral:rRNA from 1 species